GACGAACGCUGGCGGCGCGCUUAACACAUGCAAGUCGAGCGAAGCGGCGGACGGGUGAGUAACACGUGAGUAACCUGGCUUAGACAUUGGGAUAGCCUCGGGAAACCGGGAUUAAUACCAAAUGGUCUAAGAUGGACUCGCGUCCCAUUAGCUAGUUGGUAGGUAACGGCCCACCAAGGCGACGCAGGGUAGCCGGCCUGUGAGGGUGGACGGCCACUUUUGAGCUGAGCAACAGUCCAAACUCUGCGGGAGGGAGCAGUGGGGGAUAUUGCACAAUGGAGUGAACUCUGAUGCCGCGACGCCGCGUGAGCGAAGAAGGCGUUCGGGUCGUAAAGUUGUUUUAUAUGGGAAGCGGUACCAUAAGAAAAAGCACCGGCUAACUCCGUGCCAGCAGCCGCGGUAAUUC
rnacentral:rRNA from 1 species